rnacentral:rRNA from 1 species
CCCUGUUUUUUCAAAAACAUUGUUUAAAUAAAUUAUUUUAAAUAAAAUCUGCUCAAUGAAAAUUUUAAAUAGCCGCAGAUAUUCUGUGCUAAGGUAGCAUAAUCAUUUGUUUUUUAAUUAAAAACUAGAAUGAAAGAUUUUACAUUUUAAUUAAUUUAUUUUUUAUAUAAAUUUAAAUUAUAUUAAUUAUAAAAAUAUAAUUUUAAAAUAAAAAGACGAUAAGACCCUAUUGAAUUUUACUUUUGUUUAGCUGGGGCAGCUAGAUAAAUUUUAUUUUAUCUAAUUUUUUUUUAAAAAAUAUCUAAUAUAUUUAAAAUUUUAUUAAAUUACCAUAGGGAUAACAGCGUAAUAUUAUUCUUUAGUUCUUAUUUAAAAUUUGGAUUGCGACCUCGAUGUUUGAAUUAUUAUUUCUUAUUAAAUGCAAUAGUUAAAAAAGUAGGUCUGUUCGACCUUUAAUAUAUUACAUGAUCUGAGU